GGUGAUAUACUUUAAUAAGAAGACCUAAUUUGCACUUAGGAAGUGAGCGAGCCUCUAUUGACCA
rnacentral:tRNA from 1 species